rnacentral:rRNA from 1 species
UUGUGAGGUUAAGCGACUAAGCGUACACGGUGGAUGCCCUGGCAGUCAGAGGCGAUGAAGGACGUGCUAAUCUGCGAUAAGCGUCGGUGAGGUGAUAUGAACCGUUAUAACCGGCGAUUUCCGAAUGGGGAAACCCAGUGUGUUUCGACACACUAUCAUUAACUGAAUCCAUAGGUUAAUGAGGCGAACCGGGGGAACUGAAACAUCUAAGUACCCCGAGGAAAAGAAAUCAACCGAGAUUCCCCCAGUAGCGGCGAGCGAACGGGGAGGAGCCCAGAGCCUGAAUCAGUGUGUGUGUUAGUGGAAGCGUCUGGAAAGGCGCGCGAUACAGGGUGACAGCCCCGUACACAAAAAUGCACAUAUUGUGAGCUCGAUGAGUAGGGCGGGACACGUGGUAUCCUGUCUGAAUAUGGGGGGACCAUCCUCCAAGGCUAAAUACUCCUGACUGACCGAUAGUGAACCAGUACCGUGAGGGAAAGGCGAAAAGAACCCCGGCGAGGGGAGUGAAAAAGAACCUGAAACCGUGUACGUACAAGCAGUGGGAGCCUCUUUAUGGGGUGACUGCGUACCUUUUGUAUAAUGGGUCAGCGACUUAUAUUCUGUAGCAAGGUUAACCGAAUAGGGGAGCCGAAGGGAAACCGAGUCUUAACUGGGCGUUAAGUUGCAGGGUAUAGACCCGAAACCCGGUGAUCUAGCCAUGGGCAGGUUGAAGGUUGGGUAACACUAACUGGAGGACCGAACCGACUAAUGUUGAAAAAUUAGCGGAUGACUUGUGGCUGGGGGUGAAAGGCCAAUCAAACCGGGAGAUAGCUGGUUCUCCCCGAAAGCUAUUUAGGUAGCGCCUCGUGAAUUCAUCUCCGGGGGUAGAGCACUGUUUCGGCAAGGGGGUCAUCCCGACUUACCAACCCGAUGCAAACUGCGAAUACCGGAGAAUGUUAUCACGGGAGACACACGGCGGGUGCUAACGUCCGUCGUGAAGAGGGAAACAACCCAGACCGCCAGCUAAGGUCCCAAAGUCAUGGUUAAGUGGGAAACGAUGUGGGAAGGCCCAGACAGCCAGGAUGUUGGCUUAGAAGCAGCCAUCAUUUAAAGAAAGCGUAAUAGCUCACUGGUCGAGUCGGCCUGCGCGGAAGAUGUAACGGGGCUAAACCAUGCACCGAAGCUGCGGCAGCGACACUAUGUGUUGUUGGGUAGGGGAGCGUUCUGUAAGCCUGUGAAGGUGGCCUGUGAGGGUUGCUGGAGGUAUCAGAAGUGCGAAUGCUGACAUAAGUAACGAUAAAGCGGGUGAAAAGCCCGCUCGCCGGAAGACCAAGGGUUCCUGUCCAACGUUAAUCGGGGCAGGGUGAGUCGACCCCUAAGGCGAGGCCGAAAGGCGUAGUCGAUGGGAAACAGGUUAAUAUUCCUGUACUUGGUGUUACUGCGAAGGGGGGACGGAGAAGGCUAUGUUGGCCGGGCGACGGUUGUCCCGGUUUAAGCGUGUAGGCUGGUUUUCCAGGCAAAUCCGGAAAACCAAGGCUGAGGCGUGAUGACGAGGCACUACGGUGCUGAAGCGACAAAUGCCCUGCUUCCAGGAAAAGCCUCUAAGCAUCAGGUAACAUCAAAUCGUACCCCAAACCGACACAGGUGGUCAGGUAGAGAAUACCAAGGCGCUUGAGAGAACUCGGGUGAAGGAACUAGGCAAAAUGGUGCCGUAACUUCGGGAGAAGGCACGCUGAUAUGUAGGUGAAGCGACUUGCUCGUGGAGCUGAAAUCAGUCGAAGAUACCAGCUGGCUGCAACUGUUUAUUAAAAACACAGCACUGUGCAAACACGAAAGUGGACGUAUACGGUGUGACGCCUGCCCGGUGCCGGAAGGUUAAUUGAUGGGGUUAGCGGUAACGCGAAGCUCUUGAUCGAAGCCCCGGUAAACGGCGGCCGUAACUAUAACGGUCCUAAGGUAGCGAAAUUCCUUGUCGGGUAAGUUCCGACCUGCACGAAUGGCGUAAUGAUGGCCAGGCUGUCUCCACCCGAGACUCAGUGAAAUUGAACUCGCUGUGAAGAUGCAGUGUACCCGCGGCAAGACGGAAAGACCCCGUGAACCUUUACUAUAGCUUGACACUGAACAUUGAGCCUUGAUGUGUAGGAUAGGUGGGAGGCUUUGAAGUGUGGACGCCAGUCUGCAUGGAGCCGACCUUGAAAUACCACCCUUUAAUGUUUGAUGUUCUAACGUUGGCCCGUAAUCCGGGUUGCGGACAGUGUCUGGUGGGUAGUUUGACUGGGGCGGUCUCCUCCUAAAGAGUAACGGAGGAGCACGAAGGUUGGCUAAUCCUGGUCGGACAUCAGGAGGUUAGUGCAAUGGCAUAAGCCAGCUUGACUGCGAGCGUGACGGCGCGAGCAGGUGCGAAAGCAGGUCAUAGUGAUCCGGUGGUUCUGAAUGGAAGGGCCAUCGCUCAACGGAUAAAAGGUACUCCGGGGAUAACAGGCUGAUACCGCCCAAGAGUUCAUAUCGACGGCGGUGUUUGGCACCUCGAUGUCGGCUCAUCACAUCCUGGGGCUGAAGUAGGUCCCAAGGGUAUGGCUGUUCGCCAUUUAAAGUGGUACGCGAGCUGGGUUUAGAACGUCGUGAGACAGUUCGGUCCCUAUCUGCCGUGGGCGCUGGAGAACUGAGGGGGGCUGCUCCUAGUACGAGAGGACCGGAGUGGACGCAUCACUGGUGUUCGGGUUGUCAUGCCAAUGGCACUGCCCGGUAGCUAAAUGCGGAAGAGAUAAGUGCUGAAAGCAUCUAAGCACGAAACUUGCCCCGAGAUGAGUUCUCCCUGAGACUUAGAGUCUCCUGAAGGAACGUUGAAGACGACGACGUUGAUAGGCCGGGUGUGUAAGCGCAGCGAUGCGUUGAGCUAACCGGUACUAAUGAACCGUGAGGCUUAACCUUACAACGCCGAAGCUGUU